CAAGGCUGAAACUCAAAGGAAUUGACGGGGGCCCGCACAAGCGGAGGAACAUGUGGUUUAAUUCGAUGAUACGCGAGGCACCUUAUCCGGGCUCGAACGGCAGCUGAAUAUACCAGAGAUGGUAUAGUCUUCGGACAGUUGUCGAGGUGCUGCAUGGUUGUCGUCAGCUCGUGCCGUGAAGUGUCGGCUUAAGUGCCAUAACGAGCGCAACCCUUGCCUUCAGUUGGCAUCAGGUAAAGCUGGGGACUCUGGAGGGACUGCCACCGCAAGGUGCGAGGAAGGGGGGGAUGACGUCAAAUCAGCACGGCCCUUACGUGCGGGGCGACACGCGUGUUACAAUGGCAGGUACAGAGGGGUGCUAGCGGGUGUCCGGAUGCCGAUCUCGAAAUCCUGUCUCAGUUCGGACUGGAGUCUGCAACCCGACUCCACGAAGUGGGAUUCGCUAGUAAUCGCGCAUCACACAUGGCGCGGUGAAUACGUUCCCGGGCCUUGUACACACCGCCCGUCAAGUCAUGGGAG
rnacentral:rRNA from 1 species